CGUGUACAGGCGGGAAGGCGGCACGAGCUCGCGCGGGGACUGCGCGUGCGCACAGCGGCGGAUUGCGGCUGUGGGAAGAGAGCGGUGUUAGACGUGCAUCCAGACGCCACGAGGGUGCAUCCUGCAGGAGCCGAGAACACUGUGGAUGCCACCACAAGUACCUCCUGGAGCAGGUCUGGCACACGAACCACAAGCCAGAUCUCAGCUUUCAUUGUGUUAAUGACAGAAGGAUCUUGGACCUGAGACUCCUUGAGAGUCUUGAGGAAUCCGGAGAGAAACACCGCUGAAGACAACACCGUCCACUGGGGAACUACAAAAUACGCAAUCUCAUUAUCCCAACAGACAAAGAUUCAUGUGUAAUAAAUGGCACCAGCUGAGUUGUUUCCAAUAUCCUGUUACACAUUAAACUGAA